GAGGGUAUAGCUCACGUGGUAGAGUGCAUGCUUAGCAUGCAUGAGGUCCUGGGUUCAAUCCCCAGUACUUCCU
rnacentral:tRNA from 1 species